CAGCUUUGCGGCUGCAAGCUUGGAAUUGGGACCUGUUGGCGCAAGUCGACUGUCCUGAAAUGCAUUAGCCAUCGCACGUAUCGCGGCUUAAGUGUAAUAAAUCUUUGUUCACUUAUAAACGAGACAAGCGACGGCUCAUAGAAACCCCUCAUUUAUUCACCUUUGACCUCGAAUCAGGUAGGACUACCCGCUGAACUUAA
rnacentral:misc_RNA from 1 species